ensembl:miRNA
AGUGUACUUCCUGAGGCCUCUGGGUAUAAAAUUCCUGUGGCCUCUGGGUGUGUACCCU